rnacentral:lncRNA from 1 species
AUCCCUAAUCACAUUAAGGAGAUUUUUUUUUUUUUUUUUUGGUUUGUUUUUUGUUUUGCUUUUUUUUUAGGUCUGCACCUGCGGCACAUGGAAGUUCCCAGGCUAGGGGCCCAAUCAGAGCUGCAACUGCUGGCCUACACCACAGCCAGAGCAACUCGGGAUCCAAGCUGAAUCUGUGACCUAAUGAUGCAGCUUGGAUCACAGCAACGCCAGAUCCUUAACCCACUGAGUGAGGCCAGGGAACCCACAUCCUCAUAGAUACUAGUCGGAUUCGUUUCUGCUGAGCCACGACGGGAACCCCUUAAGGAGAUUUUUGAAAAUUAAAAAUGCUGUUAAGUAACAUCUCAUUUUUUCAUUAAUGAGACCAUUGUUUUAAAUAAAAAGGGCAAAAUCAAAUAUUAACUGUCAGUUCCCUUUGGAUAUAAAUCAUUUAGCAUUGCAUGUUAUGGUUCUUUGUUCCUGAGGUUAUGGUUCUAACACCUGCCCUCCUCAUCUUUUUAAAAAGUUUCCUAACCUCUUCCAAAACAGUGAUGCUCUGAAAUACUCAGAGAUGACCUCAGUCACAGGUAGUACUUCUAAGUUCAUGAUACCAGUCCCUCAUUUCCUAAACACAGAUGCACUUAUUUGAGUGCCCCAAACUCAUUCCCAAAUGAAUAUUGUGCCAAGGAAGUCCCACCUCUCAGCUGGUACUGUGGAAGCUCUUUGAAUUAAGACAAGAAGUCUGCCACCAGUGCAAGAUCAACCCUACUUGACCUGAGAGAAGCCAUUUCCCUUCUCACAGGAGUCACUGAGAACUUAGAGUUUUAAGGCAACUCAAAGUUUCUAUUAUGGUGGCUUUGAUUUACCAGGAAAAUGUCAACCCUGCCUCUGCAUCUAGAAAUCCCUGGUCUCUCUUCCCAAGGCACAGGGUGACAUGAAGAGAGAGACACGUACUGUUCUCUCUCUUCCUCAGCUUCCCCUUCUGAAAGGGGUGUCAAGUCACAGCCUCCUACAGGCUUUGUUUACAGCAGGAGUCAGAACAAUUUACAGCCUGGCUCCUUCCUGGCCCAGAGACUGGAAUGCCUCCUUGGUUUGGUGAGCAAGAGCAAGAGAAAUCUCUUCUUGCACAGCCCUUGGCGCCCAGUACCUUAUUGCUGGGUAAUUCCCAGUGAAGGAAACCAUUUUGUCCAAACUAAAGGAUAAUCGAGCAUCAGCAUAACAGAGCUGAAGGUGCACGUGUACAAAACGGCACUUUAAUUUUGAGAAGAGUAGAUUCUGAGAGGUUUUCUUAGCAAAAGGAAAACUAAAUCUUUCCCAAAUUAGGGAAGAAGUAAAAGAUAAUUUAGAGAAGAUGUAUUUAGAACAGUGGAGAAGUGCUUACAAAACUACAUUAGAUUUAAAAAGACGGGAGAAAUCUAAUUUAUAGUAUGAUUAUAACCGUGUAGUCAUGCAUAUGAUAAAAUAAGGACAGAAGUAAUAGGAGUUAUUGUAUAAAGUUAAUGUGGUUAUGAUUUUUUUCUCUGUCCUCAAAUUCUAAAAUAUUACAUUGCUUUUGUAAUGGACAGCAGAGGAAAACAAGAUUUUUUUUUUUUUUUUAAAGAGUGAAGCAAGUUCUUGGUAAUAAACAGGGAAAUAGAUCUGGUGUUAAUAGAUAUUAUUUGCAUGCACACUUGUGACAAUUAAGUCACAAGUCACAAGUCCUAUUUGUGUCAUACUUAAAUUCAACUAACAUUUCCUGAAAGUCUCUUAGAUCCUGUGUCAAACUCUGGAAAAUUCAAUUUAUUAAUUUGUUCAAUAGAGAAAAUAAUCCUUUUCCCAAAUUUCCCUUUAUUUUUAACUUCAUAACUUCUAUGAGACACUUUAAACUGUCCAGAGACAGAGCAUAUCUUAGCUAUAUAUGGAAACCCAGUUGCUAGCAUUCUGCACAUAUUUAGUUCUCAACAAAACAUUUUUAAAGGAAAGAAACUAUGAAAGAAUGAUCUUCUGUAGUGACUCAAGCAUUAUAUAGAACUAUGGUUCUCAAAUUAUGUGCCAAGGGGCCCUGAGGUACAGCAGUUAAUUCCUUGUUUUUAAUUUUAAAGUUUUAGUACUUUUAGGAGCUCCCACUGUGGCACAGUGGGGUUGGCAGCUUUGAUCACUGGCCCAGCACAGUAAGUUAAGGAUCCAGUGUUGAGGCUCAGAUCUUAUCCCUGGCCCGGGAACUCCAAUUUCUUUUCGGAAUUCCCAUUGUGGCUCAGCAGGUUAAGGACCCGAUAUUGUCUCUGUGAGGAUGAGGGUUCAAUCCCCAGCCUCACUCAGUGGGUUAAGGAUCUGACAUUGCCACAAGUUGUAGCCCCAACUGAACCCCUAGCCUGAGAACCUUCCAUAUGCCAUGAGUGUGGCUG